rnacentral:rRNA from 1 species
CAGCCGCCGCGGUAAUACGAAGGGGGCUAGCGUUGCUCGGAAUGACUGGGCGUAAAGGGCGCGUAGGCGGAUUGUUUAGUUAGGCGUGAAAUUCCUGGGCUUAACCUGGGGACUGCGCUUAAUACAGGCAGUCUAGAGUGAGGAAGAGGGUUGUGGAAUUCCCAGUGUAGAGGUGAAAUUCGUAGAUAUUGGGAAGAACACCGGUGGCGAAGGCGGCAACCUGGUCCUUGACUGACGCUGAGGCGCGAAAGCGUGGGGAGCAAACAGGAUUAGAGACCCCGGUAGUCCCUGUCUCUUAUAC